GGAAAAUACACAAAAAGGGACUAACAGCAGACUAGGUGAUAUGGAAGAACAUAUAAGCAAUCAGUAAGAUAGAAUAAUGGAAAUCAUCCAAUCAGAACAGCAAAAAGGAAAGCAAGUUUUGUUUGUUUGUUUUAAAAGAGGAUUGUUUGGAGUUCCCUGGUGGCUCAGCAAGAUAAGGAUCCAGCAUUGUCACUGCUGUGGAGAGGGUUCAAUCCCUGGCUCGGGAACUUCUGUGUGCCAUGGGCAUGGCCAAAAAAUAAAAUAAUAAACAAUGCUAUUAAAAGCGGACAAAAGAACUAGAUGUUUUCGCAAAGAAAACAUAGGCACAGGAAAAGAUGCUCAAUAUUGUGAAUCAUCAGAGAACUGCUAAUCAAAACCACACUUGUUAGAAUAGCUAUGAUCAAAACGUCUACAAAUAACCAAUGUUAUCGAGGAUGUGGAGAAAAUGGACCUCUCAUGCACUGCUGGUGGGAAUGUAAAUUUGUACAGCCAUUAUGAAAAACGGCAUGGAGAUUCUCUUAAAAAACUAAAAAUAGAAUUACCAUGUGAUCCAGAAAUUCCACUCCUGAGUCUUUGCAUGAAGAAAAUGAAAACACUAAUUUGAAAAGGUACAUGUGCCCCAGUGUUCAUGGAAAUAUAGUUUAAAUAGCCAAGAUCUGGAGGGAACAUAAAUGUCCAUUCAUAGAUGAAUGGUAAAGAAGGUGUGGUCUAUGGCAUAUUGGCCAUAAAACAGAAGAGAGUUUGCCAUUUAAAAGAAUAUGGAUGGAUCUGGAGGGUAUUAGGCUUGCCCUCCAGAAAUAAUUCAGAUAGAGAAAAACAAAGAUGGUAUGUUAUCACUUAUAUGUGAAAUCUAAAAAAAUAAAACAAAUGAAUAUAAUAAAAUAGAAGCAGACUCACAGGUUUAAGUGAAAAAACUAGUAGUCACCAGUGGGAAGAAGGGGGGGAGGAGGGGAAGGUUAGAGGUAAGGGAUUAGGAGAGGUGAACUACUAUGUAUAAAAUAAAUAAGCUACAUGGAUAUGUUGUAGAGCACAGGGAAUAGAGCCAAUAUUUAAUCAUUAUUUUGAAUAGCAUGCAAUCAAUGAAAAUAGUGAAUCACUCUUUUGUAUACCCGAAACUAAUAUAUUAUACACCAAGUAUGCUUUAAUCAAAAAAAGACUUUUAAAAAGAAGUAGCUGUUUAAUGUGGUAUUAUUUUUCAGUGGGCAAGAGAUGAAUAAAGCUUUGCUCCAAGUUUUCUCUUUAUAGUUCUGUUCUAUCAUUGUUAAGCCUAGGAUCUACUUUUAGCACUUAUAUGUACUUAGAUUUCAAACACUGGUCAGCUUAAUUUUACUUGGGUUAGGAAAAAGGCCCAGAAUACCUGCUCUUUUUUCUCAUAGCCUGUGUUUGAAAAAAGAGCAAGAUACCUCAAAGAGUUGAUAUCCAGAUAGGAAAAGUCUUCUAAAGUGAACUGAAUAAUCCUGGUUACCUCUUAACAAAUUUCCAAUAAUGAGAAGGUAGGGGUAGGAAGAAGGAGAAGGGACAAAUGCUUUCUCCUCAAAAGGCUUCUUCCUUCUAUGUCAUACAAUGAAGCAAUUUCUGAAGAAAAUGCUAGACGGUUUCUAAGGAUCAUCCACGCCCUCAGUCUUUUAAAUCAUCUCCUAGUGAUUAUGGUUCUGCCAAGAUGGACAUAAGAGACUGGAAGGGAAAAAAAUGAACUGGCGACCUACCUGGUUUUCAGCUGUUUUUCAGCAACCAAAGCUACUUCCUAGUCACUUCUCUCCCCUUUUGGAAAAUGUUUCUUUUUCUUCUUUCGUUUCUUUCUCUUUCUCUUUUUAAUAUAAUACUCUGUAAAAAAAAUACAGUAAGUUCUGGAGAAUGCAGCCUUCUCUCUCAACUUUUGGUCAUCAGUACACUUGGUGCCGUGAUAAGCUAAAAACACAAAGAGCAUGUGUUCCACAAGGUAAGAAAAGUGAAUCUUCAUCCAGGAUACUGGGAAGGGGUGUGUGUGUGUGUGUGUGUGUGUGUGUGUGUGUGUGUGUGUGUGUAAGAGAGAGAGGCAAUUUAAAGGAUAUCCCAGUAGUCUUCAUUUUCUGAUAAGGGCGAGUGAUUGUUUAAUUUAGGAGUGGCUUAUCAGGAGAUAUUAAUUGCUACAGAUCAAGAAUCUUUUGCUUUACCUAAGGAUAAGUGAGCAGUCAGAAGAUUCUGAUACCUUUGAUUCUAUAGUCUCAGGGCUACCAACUAUCUCUACAUAUCAGGCCAUGUCUGCCUGCCUACAUAGAUGACAGUUUAUAACACAUUUCAUUUUUCUGACAUGCUCCUGUACACUAAAAUGUCACCACGUUGAACUUGACAAAGCUGCAUGUGGGGCAGCAAAUAAAAGCUGUGUUUCAUUUCGAAGAUGAACUUAGAGUCAUUAUAUUGAAGAGGUAAUGAUGAGUGAAUAUAUAAAUAGAUUCAAAGAGGNUAAGCCUUCACAGAGAUAGACAUCAAAUAGAUUAUUGAGGAAACUAGGAUAUUUCAGGCUUAGAUUGACGAAGACAUUAGUACAUAAGCCUGCUUCUUCAGAUCCUGAGUAUGACAGUGUGAUAUUUAUUACACUGAUGUUCUGACUAUUUCAAGAGCCCAGAGCAUUGUCAACAGGACACAGGAAAUAUUGGCUGGAGCAGAAAUAAUAACAAGGGGGGAGUGUACCUAUUGAGUGAGAUGAUGUCAUUUUAGACACAAUGAGCUUCACUUACUAAAUUCAGAACACUCAGAUGGGCUUCAAGUGACCUGCUGUCCUGGGUACAAAGACCUGCAAACUAGAGAGGGCUUCACAGCUGUGAAGCUGGAUUCAUGUCACAAAGAUGGGCGAAGGCUUGUUUUCAAGGUAAAAUUUCCAGAUGGGCUCUCAUGCAGUUGUCAUCACCAAAAUCUGGCUGAGCACAGGCAGAAAUCUCCCCACUGGAAAUUUUACUGAGGAGUGAAAAUGAUUGUCCUUGGAGCCCUGUUCUUGGUUGAGCCUCAACAAAACACCAACCUAGUUUCUAACAGCCCAAGGCCACACCCCUACCCCCUUUGAAGUGCGUGCCUGAGAAAACUCAACACUGCCCCCAAAUUUACUAUUUAUUUUAGCCAACAUCCGAACAUAGGGCUGCUGUCUCCCAGUUCUGUGGGAGGAUGGACUGCCAACUUUGGUCACUGCCAGCAGACACUUCCGAUCAGUGUCACAUUUACCCUGAUUAAACCUUUGCCCUGUUUCUCUUCCCUGACCCCACUGAACCCAUGCUCGGACCCCUCUUUAUGCUUUCAUUUUCCCUUUUAAAGUGAUAAUUCACCUCUGAACAAGAGGAGGAUGAGUUCAGUUCACGCUGGAUUCAUUCCUGUUGCAAUAGUUAGUACCAAAUAAAAUCCUAGUGUCUGGUUUUGUGUAUCUUUGCCGGGUGUUUUAAGCAAGUUACAUCAUCUCCCAAGACCUGCAUUUCCUUUUCUAUCGAAAAGUUUGUCAGACUAAGGCAACGUACCUUCCUUUUCCAAUUCUUAUAAACACUCUAUCUUCAGAGGAGAUUAUUUUUCAGAUUUUACUCCACGGAACUGGAGUGUUUCUAGGUUCACACCAGAUUUGCACAUGUGCACGUGCAUGUGUGCAUGUGUACACAUGUAUGUGUCUGUUGCAAAUUAACAAAGGAUCACUUUAAAUCUCUACUACUCUCCAUUUUCUAUUUUUUCCCUCUUCUCUCCCAAAAAGCUUGAUGAUAGAAAGAAAUGGCUAUGGACCGGAAAGUAGACACACAGAAACAGGCACACACACAAAUACAUGCACACAAAAUUGCAUCUAUUAGUAAUAAUAGCCAAUACUUACUAAAUGUACAUGCAGGACCUUGUAAUACAUUGUUCUAAGCCCUUUAAACAAAUGCCUAGCACACUGCUUCACACAUAAACACUCAAUAAAUAUGCUUAAGAAAUUUUGAAUCUUUGAAAUGCAUAAAAUGCCUUUCUUCCUUCAAAUCUCCUAAUGAAUUGUCAAUUAGGGUUUUUAAUUGCUGGCAGGAGCAGUUAGGCAUACAAAUACUUAUUUGUAGUUAGUUUUCUUUAAUGUAUAAUUAAACUGCUAAUAUAAUUAACCUCAAAAUAACUUUUUCCUUAGCCUCUACUCUAACCUUAGAAAUCUUAUUUGCUUGGGAGUUCCCAUCAUGGCUCAGUGGUUAAUGAACCUGACUAGUAUCCAUGAGGAUGCAGGUUUGAUCCCUGACCUUGCUCAGUGCGUUAGGGAUCCAGUGUUGCCAUGAGCUGUGGUGUAUGUAGGUUGCAGAUGUGGCUCGAAUCCUCCAUUGCUGUGGCUGUGGCAUAGGCUGGCAGCUACAGCUCUGAUUUGACCCCUAGC
rnacentral:lncRNA from 1 species